rnacentral:rRNA from 1 species
GACGAACGCUGGCGGCGUGCUUAACACAUGCAAGUCGAACGGAAAGGCCCUGCUUUUGUGGGGUGCUCGAGUGGCGAACGGGUGAGUAACACGUGAGUAACCUGCCCUUGACUUUGGGAUAACUUAAGGAAACUGGGGCUAAUACCGGAUAGGAGCUCCUGCUGCAUGGUGGGGGUUGGAAAGUUUCGGCGGUUGGGGAUGUACUCGCGGCUUAUCAGCUUGUUGGUGGGGUAGUGGCUUACCAAGGCUUUGACGGGUAGCCGGCCUGAGAGGGUGACCGGCCACAUUGGGACUGAGAUACGGCCCAGCCUCCUACGGGAGGCAGCAGUGGGGAGUAUUGCACAAUGGGCGGAAGCCUGGUGCAGCAACGCCGCGUGCGGGAUGACGGCCUUCGGGUUGUAAACCGCUUUCGCCUGUGACGAAGCGUGAGUGACGGUAAUGGGUAAAGAAGCACCGGCUAACUACGUG